AGUAGAAAGGACAGCAUAUGUAAAAUUUCUGAGGCAGGAAUAAGCUUGGUGCAACAGAGGAACAGCAAAUGUGCCAGUGAGGCUAGAGGGGUAGGAACAAAGGAAUGACAGUAGAAGAUGAGGACACAGGAGACAGAAAGGCAGGGCCAGAUGUCAUGGACCUUGAAAGCCAUGCUCUUGAUCGGUGACUUUGAUGAAGCAUACGGACAUAUGGAGAGGACAAUGUGGCAAGGGACCAAGAGUGACUUCUGGUCAACAGUCACUAAGGAACUGAGACUCUCAGUUCAACAGUUCAGAAGGAACUGAAACUUCCAGUUAUUACAGGAGCAGGAAACCUGAUGCUUCCUCCUUUGAGCCUUCACAUGAAGACCCCACCAUGGCAGGUACCUUGAUUGUAGUCUUAUAAGAGAUCAUAAAGAAGAGGGUGCAGCUAAGCCCCACCCAGACUCAGACCCACAGUGAUUCUGAGAUCAUUCGUGUGUCGUUUUAACCUGCCAAGUUCAUAGUAAUUUGUUACAAAGCAAUAGUUAACUAAUACACCUCUUGAGAUGCCACUAAAAUGAAGUUGAAGAAAGGAAUAACAUGGGUACUAACCCACAAGGAAAAGAAGAAAGCCAAGAAAAGAUAAAAAUAGUGGAUAUGAUAUAUUCCAAUUUUGUAAGAUGGGGAGCUCACAGAUGUGUAGUGACUAACUUGGUAAAGCCAUAAAAGGUGAAACCUAUGUCCCUAUAAAAGAGGAAACCAACAAGAACAAAGUUGACUCUUGCUACAGAGACUCAAGAAUUGGCAACACCAGGGGGCGCCUGACUGGAUCACUCAGUAGAGCAUGCAACUCUCCAUCUCAGGGUCCUGGGUUCAAGACCCAUAAUGGGGGUAGAGUUCACUUUAAAAAUAAAAA